rnacentral:piRNA from 1 species
UCGGUGCGGUCACUACUCCAA